GACGAACGCUGGCGGCGUGCUUAACACAUGCAAGUCGAACGGGAUCCAUCCCAGCUUGCUGGGAGAAGAUCUAGUGGCGAACGGGUGCGUAACACGUGGGCAACCUACCUCGGAGAUCGGGAUAACAGCUGGAAACGGCUGCUAAUACCGGAUAACCCUCUCGGAUCGCAUGGUCCGAGAGGCAAAUGGUCCGCCGCUCCGGGAUGGGCCCGCGGCCUAUCAGCUUGUUGGUGAGGUAACAGCUCACCAAGGCGACGACGGGUAGCCGACCUGAGAGGGUGAUCGGCCACACUGGGACUGAGACACGGCCCAGACUCCUACAGGAGGCAGCAGUGGGGAAUCUUGCGCAAUGGGCGAAAGCCUGACGCAGCAACGCCGCGUGGAGGAUGAAGGUCUUCGGAUUGUAAACUCCUGUCGGGAGGGACGAAGCGAAAGUGACGGUACCUCCAAAGGAAGCCCCGGCUAACUACGUGCCAGCCGCCGCCGUAA
rnacentral:rRNA from 1 species